AAGACUCAAGUAUGUAACAAAACCAGCAUCUCAGUGUGUCUUAUUUCACUGCGGACGUCUGUGAGCAACUUCUAUCAAACAGUUCUGUUUCGUAGAAAUCCUGCUGCUAUACUUUUACUCAUUUAAAUAUAUGAGAUUUACAGGGUUGCAGACUACAGAGGACACGAUGGGCUGUGGUAAGAUGAAAUAACAAACUUGAGUGAUGUUUAAUUUGAUGUGAAAAUGUGAAUGUUAUUUCCUAGUACUAUUUGCAUGGCAAACAAAUAGCUAUAAACAAAGCGACAACGGAUUUUUAUUAUGAGCCUUACACUGACAAUAUUUGUUAAUGAAUUUUACGCUUUUGUCUUUUACUACCUGUCAUCUCUUGUGUCAUCUCUUGCUGCAACAGUAACUACAAACAGAUCAGUCAUGCAUGUUUUACCCCCUGAAAACUGUGACAUUGACAUUGUAGACACUGGAGGAACGAUCAGUGAUUUCAUAGACGAUAAAAUAAAAGAGCGUAGUUCAGUGGACAACGACGAGCCGUUCUGUGUGGCAAACCUGGACAGUAUCCUCAUGAGGCACCUCAGGUGGCUCGCUAACCUGCCUCAGGUCAAACCUUCUACACAGUGAAGUGCAACAACACAGCAGCAGUUUUAAAGAUGAUGACUGUUUUGGACACUGGUUUCAACUGUGCUAGCAAGAAUCUGUUGAAGAAGAAGAAGUUGAGAAGGAAGACCAGGCUGGCCAAACUCCACUACAAAAACAAAGUGGAGGAAAAAUUCACCACUGGCAAUGCAAGGGAGGCAUGGCAGGGACUCAAUACCAUGAUGGGCAGAGCCCAGAAUCCGGCCCCGAUCCAAUGCUCUGACCCCGCCACCUUUGCAAAGCAGCUGAACAUUUAC